ACCAUACAUUACAAAUGUAAGUUUAUACACUAUCCUAACUUACAUAAAUAAUUUGUUUUUAGUAUAAAAUGGAUUACUAUUCGACAUGGCGACUGGCUUGUUGCCUUUUAUUUGUGAGCAUGGUAACGGCACGAGUUUUGCCAAACACUGGACAUCUGAGAUCGAACAUCAAUUUAAACAAAUUCCCAAACAGCUAUUCCCCGUUGGCGCUAAAGACCGGCAGAAUUCGCGCCACAUCCUUUGAAAAUAUGUCCAUGAGACGAUCUGCGUUGAAACUUCAACAUUUAAAGAAAUUAUUUGAUAAAGACGGAAUAAUCUACUUACCCAGCCGUAAACCAUCACCAAAGUUUGUUGGAUCAAAAUAUUUGAAAAUGCUUCUCAAAAAAUUACUUGCUUUCAAAGAAAAGGAUCUUUCCUAUAAGCCUGGGGACAUACGAGAAGAUAAGGAUGUAUUUAGAGUGUUAUUGCUAAAAGAGUUGCGGAGAUACGCAAAACAAGAACCGAAAACUGAAUUUCAAUUUGCUGACCUGGUUGCAUGAUUUUCUUUUUUUACCAGACGUCCAGACUGCGCCAGAAAGAAUGGUUUUAGAGUUUAUGUAGAUAAAUUGGAAUAAAAUAAUAAAAAAAAACAUAUUGUUUUAUAUAAUUUCAUUUCCUUUAAUAUUAAUUAAAAGCUGAUACCCGCGAUUUGUCCGCGUAAAAUUAGUGUCCACAAAUUCUCAAAUCUAGUCUCUCGUUUUUGCAUGAAAGAGUUCAUACCAUCCUUACAACCAAUUUUUCGCAAAUUUUGCAGAAUUCAUGGUUUCAUUCGGGACUAUCUUAUGAGUUAAUCUAGGACAUGAUUUUCAUCCAAUUUCCAGCUAAAUCCUCUUAGUAGUCGUGACGUUAAAGAGUAACAAACUUUCCCGUUUAUAAUAUUAGUAGGAUUGUUUGUAAGUUAACAAUUUUGUUUACGAUUUGCGUGCAAAUUCAAAAAGAACAAGAGAAUUGAUUUCGUGUUUAUGAUCUUGCUUCUCGAGUCCAGUCCAAAAUGCGUUGACAGCAAACGAGGCGUUGCGUUUUGUAGGAAACAUUUUGGAGAAAUCAGUUAAGCGCUAAAGCCAGGCCGCUCAGAGAUUGCGUUUCUAACACCUGUCAAUGUCACCUUUUUAUAUUUGUUAAUAAUUUUUGCCCAAAAUAAAUACCUUUAUAAAUAUUUUUUUAUGUUAUUACUCGAUUACCUUAAGUUAAUAAAAUAUCUAAUUGAUAUUGGCAGGUGUCAGAAACGCGGCUUGACUUUAGGCGUACAGAAGUGAGGGUGGGACAGUCAAAUAAAUAAAAGCCAUGUAUAUUGAACAUAUCUUUAUUUAAUUUCUGCCUCGAGGCAAUAUUUACACAUCGCAUCAGCCACGACAGGCGAAUAAUACAACUUAACACUAUAUUAUCACACUACCCGCAAAAUACACAACUACCCUCAUCUAAAAAAAAAAAGCUUCCUUUACAUAGCGUUCUCUGUCCCACGCAAAGUAAAUUAUAUUGU